GUGCUUGCUACAGUAGCACACAUACUAAAAUUGGAAUGAUACAGAGAAGAUUAGCAUGGCCCCUGUGCAAGGAUGACAUGCAAGUUCAUGAAGCAUUCCAUAUUUUU
rnacentral:snRNA from 1 species